ACAACUAUAUCACGCUGAAAAACCGGUUUCCGAACGAUCACCGAGGCUAAGCAACGUCGAGUCUGGUCGAUACUAAGAUGGGUGACCCCUUGGGAAUACUAGAAGCUGUAAG